CCCGACUGCUAUCGGGGUGGGACUAAGCCAUGCGAGUCAGCGCCCCUAGCCACGGUGGGGCGCGGCGUACGGCUCCGUAAAACACGGCUAACCUACCCUCAGGACAGGGAUAACCUCGGGAAACUGAGGCAAAUCCCUGAUAGAUGAGGGACCCUGGAACGCUCCCUCAUCUAAAGGAUCCCAAGACCAUGCUCUUGGGAUCGCCUGAGGAUGGGGCCGUGGCCUAUCAGGUUGACGGUGAGGUAACGGCUCACCGUGCCUAUAACGGGUACGGGCCGUGAGGGCGGGAGCCCGGAGAUGGGCACUGAGACAAGGGCCCAGGCCCUACGGGGCGCAGCAGGCGCGAAACCUCCGCAAUGCGCUAACGCGCGACGGGGUCACCCCGAGUGCCAGCCGCUGAGGCUGGCUUUUCCCCAGUGUAAAAAGCUGGGGGAAUAAGCGGGGGGCAAGUUCUGGUGUCAGCCGCCGCGGUAAUACCAGCUCCGCGAGUGGUCGGGGCGUUUAUUGGGCCUAAAGCGUCCGUAGCCGGCCCAGUAAGUUCCUCCUUAAAUCCCAUGGCUCAACCAUGGGGCUGGGAGGAAUACUACUGGGCUAGGGGGCGGGAGAGGCCGAGGGUAUUCCCGGGGUAGGGGCGAAAUCCUAUAAUCCCGGGAAGACCACCAAUGGCGGAGGCACUCGGCCAGAACGCGCCCGACGGUGAGGGACGAAAGCCAGGGGAGCAAAAGGGAUUAGAGACCCCUGUAGUCCCGGCUGUAAACGAUGCGGGCUAGGUGUUGGCUGAGCUUCGGGCUCAGCCAGUGCCGCAGGGAAGCCGUUAAGCCCGCCGCCUGGGGAGUACGGCCGCAAGGCUGAAACUUAAAGGAAUUGGCGGGGGAGCACCACAAGGGGUGGAGGCUGCGGUUCAAUUGGAGUCAACCCCGGGAACCUUACCAGGGGCGACAGCAGGAUGAGGGCCAGGCUAACGACCUUGCCCGACGCGCUGAGAGGAGGUGCAUGGCCGUCGCCAGCUCGUGCCGUGAGGCGUCCGGUUAAGUCCGGUAACGAGCGAGACCCUCGUCUCCAGUUGCGACCAGGACCCAUUGGGUCCUGGGCACACUGGAGAGACUGCCAGCGCUAAGCUGGAGGAAGGAGGGGGCUACGGCAGGUCAGUAUGCCCCGAAACCCCUGGGCUACACGCGGCCUGCAAUGGUGGGGACAAUGGGUUCCGAACCCGAAAGGGGGAGGUAAUCCCAUAAAACCCCACCUCAGUUGGGAUCGAGGGCUGCAACUCGCCCUCGUGAACGUGGAAUCCCUAGUAACCGCGUGUCAUCAUCGCGCGGUGAAUACGUCCCUGCUCCUU
rnacentral:rRNA from 1 species